GAACACUGCGAUUAAGAUGAAAUGCGGUUAUAGUUUAGAUAGGCCUAUACGGUGCCCAUAUCAAAAAGAAUAGAAAACCUUUAUUGCAUUCUAUUCUUAAUAUUAUUUUAUUCUGACUCUGAAUGUUUGUUGCUUUAAUCCAGAUGAGUAUUGAAAAGUUUUUUCUGCGCCAAAAAAGGCCUCUAAAUGUUUAUUAAAUAUAUAAUACAUUUCCUAGGCAUCAAACAGUGCUGAACAACCCAGUGCUUCUCAGGGGCCGGGCUGUUCAGGAGAGAUACUGAUUAAUAUAGGCCAGGAGGACAGCAGACAAAAUGUUGCCGAAACAACAGGUGAGGUGGAAACAGAUUAGUGUAGAUUUGAACUUUAAAAAAAGUAGGGAAAGUAAUUUCGAUCCUUCUGUUCCUGGUAGAGAAAAUGUGCUGAUCUGUUCAUUGUAGGUCAUCCAACCCUACAUUACUGGCCUGGAGACAGAACUGAAAAGGAGGUUCCAGGAGCUGGACAUCCUUGGAGCCUUCCAUGUCCUUCGACCUCAGUCGGCUGCCCUCCCUGACAAUUAUGUACAUUGCACAGCUGCACACUCUGGUAAAAAAAUACUGUCCAGACCAAGAGAAGGUGCUCCUCCAAGAGUUGUUUUCUUUCAAAAAACAUAUCAUUACAGGUAUGUGAAAAUCUCUCUCUCUUUCUCUUAUGUGCUAUAUCUUUCAUUCAAGAACAAGAGCCAGGAGGAGCUCCUGACUCUGCUGGCGAGUGAGUAUGAUGAGUGGUUAGACCUCUACCCCUGCCUCAGUCUCCUUGCCAGCAUUGCCCUGAUUGUCCCAGUCUCAUCUGUGAAUUGCGAGCGGGAUUUCUCAGCUAUGAAUAGGAUAAAAACAGACCUCAGGAACAGGCUUCAAGGGGAACACCUGGCAGCCUGAUUAAGAAUCUCCAUAAAUGGGCCAGAACCGAAUGAGGUCCCUUAUGAUCGGGCACUUAUUUUUCAGGAACCCAUGUAGAAUCAGGUGUUCUGAUGGGGCAUGCAAGCUUUGCACAUUAGGCUAAUGCAGAUCAUUAUUUUAGUUAGUUGCCUUGUUGUACCUAGUAGUAUAUUGUUACUAUUUAUUUUAUAUUUCCUAAAAAAGUUAAAUAUUGGUUCAGGUAGGUCUUGAGUUUAUUUGUACCUGAAAU